rnacentral:ncRNA from 1 species
CACCUGGUUGAUCCUGCCAGUAGUCAUAUGCUUGUCUCAAAGAUUAAGCCAUGCAUGUCUAAGUAUAAGCUUUAAACGGCGAAACUGCGAAUGGCUCAUUAAAACAGUUAUAGUUUAUUUGGUGAUCGAUUACUAUUUGGAUAACCGUAGUAAUUCUAGAGCUAAUACAUGCGUCAAGGCCCGACUUCGGAAGGGCUGCGUUUAUUAGAUACAGAACCAACCUAGGCUCCGCCUAGUCCUUGUUGGUGAUUCAUAAUAACCCGGCGAAUCGCACGGCUUGUCCGGCGAUGGACCAUUCAAGUUUCUGACCUAUCAGCUAUGGACGGUAGGGUAUUGGCCUACCGUGGCGUUGACGGGUAACGGGGAAUUAGGGUUCGAUUCCGGAGAGGGAGCCUGAGAAACGGCUACCACAUCUAAGGAAGGCAGCAGGCGCGCAAAUUACCCAAUCCUGAUACAGGGAGGUAGUGACAAGAAAUAACAAUACAGGGCAAUUCUGUCUUGUAAUUGGAAUGAGUAGAUUUUAAAUCUCUUUACGAGUAUCAAUUGGAGGGCAAGUCUGGUGCCAGCAGCCGCGGUAAUUCCAGCUCCAAUAGCGUAUAUUAAAGUUGUUGCGGUUAAAAAGCUCGUAGUUGGAUUUCUGCCUUGGGCGACCGAUCCACCUUUCCUACGGGAUUGGUCGGUAUCAGGUUUGACCUUGGCUUUUUCUUGGGAUUCGUGCUCACGUACUUAACUGUGCGUUGACCGUGUUCCAAGACUUUUACUUUGAGGAAAUUAGAGUGUUUCAAGCAGGCUUAUGCCAUGAAUACAUUAGCAUGGAAUAAUAGGAUAUGACUUCGGUCAUAUUUUGUUGGUUUCUAGGACUGAAGUAAUGAUAAUAGGG